CCCUCAGCACUUGGUUUCACACCACAGCUGAGAAUGUCCAGGCCCACUCCCAACAUUCUUGAAACAGGUAACAGAGGCCACUUUCACGUCUCCAAGGAGAAUGGAAUAAAAACAGCCCCAGCUGGUGAGAUUCUUCUGGAGUUGAUCUGCCACAAAGUUGAUUUAUGCCUUCCUCACUUCUGCAUUUACUUGCAAGGAAGCUACCGAGCCUGCUGUGAAGAUCAACAGCUUGGAGUCUGUCCCAUAAAAUGAAAUGAGAUGACACUGAGGGGUUGGGGAUGAGAAAGAGAAUGAAGAUGUUUGGAUACGGGAGAAGAUGGAAAAGGAGACAGGUGGUGAAGUAUACUGAAUUAGGCAAAAUGGAGUGCGGGAACAUGACUGUGGGCAAGAGAAUUCCUGUGAAAGUGCCUCCUCACAUAUGGUUUAUUAAAGCAAGCUAGCUUCGUGAACCAGAGCACAAAAACGUCUCCUUUCAGUAAAACCACGGAUUUGGAACCCAUGGCCCUUCAGAUAUUGACUCCAGCUCCUUGCAUCCGCUUUUCCCAUCCUUGCAGCAUUAUUCAGGCAGCAUGACAUGAAGAAACGGUCCAUACUACAGAAGAGCAGUUUCUAAUAAAUAGAUCAUUGUGUCUCAAAUAUAAAGAAAACUUCCUGUUUCUAAUUAA